rnacentral:rRNA from 1 species
UACGUAGGGGGCGAGCGUUGUCCGGAUUCAUUGGGCGUAAAGCGCUUUAAGGCGGUUCGCUAAGUCGGGUGUGAAACCUCCAGGCUCAACCUGGAGACGCCACUCGAUACUGGCGUGACUAGAGUUCGGUAGGGGACCACGGAAUUCCUGGUGUAGCGGUGGAAAUGCGCAGAUAUCAGGAGGAACACCGGUGGCGAAGGCGGGUCUCUGGGCAGUAACUGACGCUGAGGCUCGAAAGCAUGGGGAGCAAACAGG